UUAUCAUUUAAAAUUAUAAUUAAAUCAUAUACGGAUAUGAGGGUUUUCGUCUUUAUAGUUUCUUCUCUUUUGUUUACUUCCUUUUGGCUUCCUACUUCAGCCGAACAAUGUGGAACUCAAGCUGGGGGUGUUGUGUGUCCUGGAGGCCUGUGUUGUAGUAAAUGGGGUUGGUGUGGUACGACAAGUGAUUACUGUUGUGAGGGUUGCCAAAGCCAAUGUAAUUGUCCCAGUGGACGUAGAGCCGGCAUUCUCCGAGGAGGUGGUGGAGAUAUGGAUGAGAUAAAUUCAGAAAAGGCAUUUGAUAAGAUACUCGGUCAAAAGCCAUAUGGGCUUUAGACUUAGUAGAUACAACGUAAUCAGUUUCCAUCUCAUAUGGAAAAUAGUAAACUAAAUAAAAAUAUGUGCCUUAUAUUUCUAUAAUCUUAUUUCUUUAUCGAAUGGAUUAUAGAAAUUACUGUGUGUACGUUAAGUGCAAGCAUAUGCACUUGUUUCGAUAAUAAUAUGGAUGUUGGUUUUCACUAUUUUAUAAUUUACUAUGUGUAAUUGUAACAUUCCAAAACCUACAGAUAGAAAUAGAGCAACCAUUAGCUUUAAAUUGUACCAUUUUAAAGUUAGAGUAAUUAGCUUUAGGGGAGGUGCUAGCUUGACCUCGAGCUGAUUAGGGGAGGUGCUAGCUUAUCCAUAGCCGUCUGACACACAAUUCGUUUAAAGAUAGAGCACUAAAGUUGUGUUUAGAGGUCUAACUUGCAUUUCAUAUAGAGUUAUACGUCCAAAGGUAGAGUUAAAAUAAGAACGACCAGUACUAGUAUUUUAACAUCUUCAAACUGUAAUAACUGAAUCAUAGAAAACCCAAAUAAGAAAACAAAUAUAUCUUAAAAUAAAGUAUCUAACGUGAUAAGCAGGUCGGAAUCAAGUUGCUAUUGGGAGGUGCUGAAGGGUUUCCCGACGUGCUAGCUUGAGGUGCUUCCUAAAACCGACAUGCUUGCUUAAAUGAAAUGAACUUCUAAAUAUUAAAAAUGUAAGUUUAGUAGGUCAAUCUAUGAAUAUUGAAAGUUUAAAAACUAAAUUGAAACAUGUGGAAAAGUUUAGUAGGUGAAAGUGUGAAUAUGGAAAAUUUAAAAGUAAAAUUCCAAGUUUGCCCUCCACCUUUUUCUAUAUUUACACCUAACCCACCAUUUGACACCUAGCCAUGCAUGACUAAGCAUGAAAUGGAAAGUUGUCUUCAUUUGGUCCAUCCUUGCCGUGGCUACACCAAAAGGAAAGAGAAAAAGGCUUUUGCUUUCUUAACUUUCAUCUCCACCAUAUUUCUCCAAAAAGACAAAGCUUUCACCCAUGCACAAUCUGUUCUUAGGUGUUCUAACCAGCAAAGGAACCAUAGAAAGAAAGGAAAGAAGAAGAGAAGUUAAGGUGCUUAAGUGAACAAACUCAAAGGGAGGAAGGUACAUCAAAGGGGAAAGGCAAGGAAAAAGAGUAACUAAGGUGUACCUAAAGAUUUUGAAAAGAAUUGACAAAAGGU